rnacentral:rRNA from 1 species
GACGAACGCUGGCGGCGUGCUUAACACAUGCAAGUCGAACGGUGAAGCGCCUUCCUUUUUGGUGGGUGUGGAUGAGUGGCGAACGGGUGAGUAACACGUGAGUAACCUGCCCCCUUCUUCUGGAUAACCGCAUGAAAGUGUGGCUAAUACGGGAUAUUCUGGGUCUGUCGCAUGAUGGGUCUGGGAAAGAUAUUGUUUCGGUGGGGGAUGGGCUCGCGGCCUAUCAGCUUGUUGGUGGGGUGAUGGCCUACCAAGGCGGUGACGGGUAGCCGGCCUGAGAGGGUGGACGGUCACACGGGGACUGAGACACGGCCAAGACUCCUACGGGAGGCAGCAGGGGGGAAUAUUGCACAAUGGGCGCAGGCCUGAUGCAGCGACGCCGCGUGAGGGAUGGAGGCCUUCGGGUUGUGAACCUCUUUCGCCAGUGAAGCAGGCCUGCCUCGUUUGUGGGUGGGUUGACGGUAGCUGGAUAAGAAGCGCCGGCUAACUACGUG